GAUGAACGCUAGCGGCAGGCUUAAUACAUGCAAGUCGAGGGGUAGCAAGAUUGUAGCAAUACAAUUGUUGACGACCGGCAAACGGGUGCGGAACACGUACACAACCUUCCUACAAGUGGGGAGUAGCCCAGAGAAAUUUGGAUUAAUACCCCGUAACAUAGCGAUGUGGCAUCACAUUGCUAUUAUAGCUUCGGCGCUUGUUGAUGGGUGUGCGGCUGAUUAGAUAGUUGGCGGGGUAACGGCCCACCAAGUCUACGAUCAGUAGCUGAUGUGAGAGCAUGAUCAGCCACACGGGCACUGAGACACGGGCCCGACUCCUACGGGAGGGAGCAGUAAGGAAUAUUGGACAAUGGACGCAAGUCUGAUCCAGCCAUGCCGCGUGAAGGAUUAAGGUCCUAUGGAUUGUAAACUUCUUUUAUAAGGGACGAAAAAAGGUCUUUCUAGAUCGUCUGACGGUACCUUAUGAAUAAGCACCGGCUAACUCCGUGCCAGCCGCCGCCGUAACAC
rnacentral:rRNA from 1 species